rnacentral:rRNA from 1 species
UACGGAGGGUGCAAGCGUUAUCCGGAUUCACUGGGCUUAAAGGGCGCGUAGGUGGGCAGGUAAGUCAGCGGUGAAAUCCCCGAGCUUAACUUGGGAACUGCCAUUGAUACUAUCUGUCUUGAAUACCUUGGAGGUGAGCGGAAUAUGUCAUGUAGCGGUGAAAUGCUUAGAUAUGACAUAGAACACCAAUUGCGAAGGCAGCUCACUACGCGGUCAUUGACACUGAGGCGCGAAAGCGUGGGGAUCAAACAGG